rnacentral:sRNA from 1 species
GAGCCGUCUACAUCUGCACGGAAGACGCCUUCCCGCACAAGCGCCUGCAGCAGCUCAUGGCCCAGCAGCCGCGGCUGCGCACUGACGUUCCAGGAGAGCUGCUUCAGAAGCUCCGAUUUGGCAGCCAGAUCUUCAUCGAGCACGUGGCCGAUGUGGCCACUGCUGCUGCUGUCGUUUUCCACAAAAAGAGGCUCGGCCAGAGAUGCCCUGGAGACGAAGCACAGACGAGUUUCACUCAGGGCGUGCGGGCGGCCCUCAGGCGUCUUCAGAGCUCCGGGCGUGACACCAGUGUGUGGCUGCAGACCUUGGACUUGGGCAGCCUAGGGGCCCCUUAGCAGCCUCCAUCUGGCCAGAGCUGCUGGCAAGGCCCAUGGGGCCUGAACUACCCUGCUUGGUGCCAGGAGCA